AGAAGUUCAUUGCAGAACCAGAUUUCAUCACCAGGAAACAGUGAAAGCUAAUUAUUUCACUACAAAGUGAUACCUUCUACAAUGAAUUACUAUGCAGCUGUAAAUAAGAACAAACAAAGGCCAUGUGUAUGACCCCUGUACUGCAGUCCCCGCGGAGGCCAGAAGAGGUCCUCAGAGGCAGGCAGAUCUCUGGGUUCCAGGCCAGCCAGAGCUAUAAGGUGGUUGUAAAUCUAAUCAAGUUGAUAAUGAGGAAGAACACCACAAAUACAUGUCAGCCAGCUUAAGUUGGUUACGUGGUGUGAAAAACUGAGCAGAAAAAGGAUGUUUGAGAAGCUGUGCAAAGACUGGGGGCUGGUUAAGAGCACUUGUGCUCUUGCAGAGGCCCUGAGCAUUUCCAGUAUCUACAUCAUGUAUCUCACAGCUGCCCGUAUGUAACUCCAGAUCUAGAGGAUCCGAGCAAGACUGGGUCUAAUAUUAAAUUGAAUUUAAAAGGUUACCCCUCACAUUGUCAAACCAAGUAGCCAGAUACAAGUAACAACAAAAGAUACCUGUGGUUUUGUGUUCAUUUUGAGACAGGUUUCCAAGUAGUCCAGACUGGCCUUGAAUUCAUUGUGUGGCUGAGGAUGACUCUGAAUUUCUGAUUUUCUUGCCUCUUUCUCCCAGGUGCUGUGAUUAUGGACAUGUAGCAGCAUGCCCUGUUUGUGGAGUGCCGGGGCUUGAAUCCAGGGCCUUGUGCAUGCUAGGCAAGCACUCUACCAGGUGAGCCACAACCCCAGCCCAAGACAUCUGGUUUGAACCAGAUCUUUUCAUUAAGUUAAGCAGGAAGGCAGCUUGCAACACAUGCAUGGGAAAUGUGCCAUCUUGGUUUAAUGAGUGGGUUUCUGCAGUAUGUUGAAACACUUCAACUUCCUUAACCCAAUAUCUGAUGAAGGAGCAAGGAUAGAGAAAUUAAUUUACCACACACUAAUUAAAGGGGGGUGCACACUGUAUACACAGCGAAAGUCUCUGGAAUAAAUAUUUGAUAAACAGUAUCUGGCAAAUUAAAAACCUGAAAUGUUAAAUUAAAUGCAAAUUAAAAAUCUGGAAUGUUAAAUUAAUUAAAUACGGAAAAUUGCAUCAAACAGCA